UGGUACGGCCGUGCUGCUCGACUUGGCGGCGGCACUGCCGUGCCUCCAGAUAAUAAUUAGAAUGCUUUAGAGUAUUAACUAUGGUUUAUUUUAUUUUUUUGGCCUAUCACAGCCAUCAGUUCAUUUUGAAUAUUAUGACCAAGGUAAUGAGGCAUAUUGCGGAGUUGGGAUUUUUCAAUGCAAUUAUUGUGUUCCCGCUAAAACAUCAUCAAAUUUUGAAAUACUUUCUAUCAAUUUUUAAAAAUUUCCGUUAUCAUUCUGAAACAACUUUCCUUAUGCCCACUAACAGCUAAAUUUUAUCUGGCUAAAAACUGAAUGACGUAUAUAAUUCUUUCAAUAACUGCCAUUACCUCAUUUUUCACGAACCAUUUGGGCCAC
rnacentral:lncRNA from 1 species